AACGGGGUAAGAACUAACAAGGAUUCCCCUAGUAACUGCGAGUGAAGCGGGAAAAGCUCAAAUUUAAAAUCUGGUGGUCUCAGGCCAUCCGAGUUGUAGUCUGGAGAAGUGCUUUCUGCAUUGGACCGUGUAUAAGUCUCUUGGAACAGAGCGUCAUAGAGGGUGAGAAUCCCGUCUUUGACACGGACUACCAGUGCUUUGUGAUGUGCUCUCAAAGAGUCGAGUUGUUUGGGAAUGCAGCUCAAAAUGGGUGGUAAAUUCCAUCUAAAGCUAAAUAUUGGCGAGAGACCGAUAGCGAACAAGUACCGUGAGGGAAAGAUGAAAAGCACUUUGGAAAGAGAGUUAAACAGUACGUGAAAUUGCUGAAAGGGAAACACUUGAAGUCAGUCACAUCAUUUGGAACUCAGCCUUGCUCUUGCUUGGUGCACUUUCUAAGUGAUGGGCCAGCAUCAAUUUUGACUGUUGGAAAAGGGUUGGAGGAAUGUGGCACCUUUUGGGGUGUGUUAUAGCCUUCAAUCGCAUGCAGCAGUUGGGAUUGAGGAAUGCAGCGUGCCGCAAGGCAGGGGUUUUUACCCACUCUUCACGCUUAGGAUGCUGGCAUAAUGGCUUUAAGUGACCCGUCUUGAAACACGGACCAAGGAGUCUAACAUACCUGCAAGUAUUUGGGUGGAAAACCCAAGUGCAUAAUGAAAGUGAAAGUUGAGACCUCUGUCGUGGAGGGCAUCAACGCCCGGACCUGACGUUCUCUGAUGGAUCUGCGGUAGAGCAUGUAUGUUGGGACCCGAAAGAUGGUGAACUAUGCCUGAAUAGGGUGAAGCCAGAGGAAACUCUUGGUGGAGGCUCGUAGCGAUUCUGACGUGCAAAUCGAUCGUCAAAUUUGGGUAUAGGGGGCGAAAGACUAAUCGAACCAUCUAGUACUGGUCCUCAAAAAAAUCUCCCCGAAAAAGGAAAAAAAAAAAAACCCCCCCCCCCCCGAAGA
rnacentral:rRNA from 1 species